rnacentral:rRNA from 1 species
GGCCCGCACAAGCGGUGGAGUAUGUGGUUUAAUUCGACGCAACGCGAAGAACCUUACCCAGUCUUGACAUCCUUGGACAACCAUAGAGAUAUGGCCUUCUCCUUUACGGGAGACCAAGUGACAGGUGCUGCACGGCUGUCGUCAGCUCGUGUCGUGAGAUGUUCGGUUAAGUCCGGUAACGAGCGCAACCCCUAUCGUUAGUUGCCAUCAUUCAGUUGGGCACUUUAGCGAGACUCCCGGUGUUAAACCGGCGGAAGAUGGGGACGACGUCAAGUCAUCAUGGCCCUUACGACUGGGGCUACACACGUACUACAAUGGCGACUACAAAGGGUAGCGAGACUGUGAAGUGGAGCCAAUCCCAAAAAGUCGCCUCAGUUCGGAUUGUAGUCUGCAACUCGACUACAUGAAGUUGGAAUCGCUAGUAAUCG